rnacentral:rRNA from 1 species
AUCUAUAGGAUUGUAUUAAAAUUGAAUAAAGCUUUGUUUAUAUAUUGAUAAUGACAGUAUAUAUAUCGUGUCUUGACUAAUUGCGUGCCAGCAGUCGCGGUAAUACGUAAGAGACUAGUGUUAUUCAUCUUAAUUAGGUUUAAAGGGUACCUAGACGGUCAAUAUAGCUUCUAGAAUGUUAGUACUUGACUAGAGUUUUAUGUAAGAGGGCAGUACUUGAGGAGGAGAGAUGAAAUUCUAUGAUACCAAAGGGACUCGGUAAAGGCGAAGGCAGCCCUCUAUGUAGAAACUGACGUUAAAGGACGAAGGCACAGAGCACAAACAGGAUUAGAUACCCAAGUAGUCUUUGCAGUAAAUGAUGAAUGCCAUAGGUUAGAUUAAGAUUUAAUAUUAUAAUUAUAAAUUAAAUAUUAAACAUGAAUUUGGUCUAUAAAUGAAAGUGUAAGCAUUUCACCUCAA